UUUGCAACAGCAUGCUACUGGACUCUGUAAAUUAUGUUAGAGAGUUUGCUCAGGUGUUAAAACAAUACACAAAGACCAGAAUUUGAUAGCAGUCAAGAAAAGUUGGGGAAACAUGUAGCCCAAGUAAAAAAUACUUCAACUACAGUGAAAGAGAUGCACAAAGGCCGUUUUUUCAUUGAGACAAGUUCACAAUGUCGUCUUUUGGAAGAUAAAAAGUACAGCGUUUCAUGUGACCUGGAAUCUGUUCAUAUUCAACCAGAUUUCUGUAGGCUCGGUGGCUGCCUCUUUUGGCUCAACGGGCUGCAAGGCUUGUAGAAAGGUAGGAGAAACACCGGGUCAGGGGCUGCAGACAGUGAGGACUGACUUCAUUGAUGGGGUGAACGAUGCAAUAAUCCAGGACCUGCUGGAUGACAUGCUGCAGAUCAGAGUGUUGAACGAUAGCGAGAUGGAGGCUGUGAGGCAGGGGGAGAACCGUACCAGAGACAAGACCCGCUGUCUGAUCGACAUGGUGAGGAGGAAGGGGAGUGAAUCAAGCGAGAGACUGCUCUCCAAACUGGAGAAGAGGGACCCCACUCUCUAUCACAAGCUUGGGCUUCACAAUCAAUUAGCUAACUAAGAAACUCAUAACAGCUUGGAACUGAUUGUUGAACAUAUAUUUAAUCAAAAAAAGGUUUUAAGCCAUAAAAAUUACUCCACAGUAAUCUCUCCUUGAAAAGUCUUUUUAGGACAAUUCAACCAACUUUUAUUCAAGUCCUAAUCUUUAAGAAUGGGGUUUUAUUAUGACACUGGCACAGGAAAUGGUUGAAACAUUUACAAGAACCCAGGCUUCUCUCUAAACACACUAAAACUCCAGCAGUACAAAUGGCCAAAUGGAAUGUAUGCAAAAAGAUGGGAACCAGCUCUUUUCCUGCUAGGAAAGUUAUAAAGGGUAGUUCUUUAAAAUACUUCAAACAAAUCUAUAAAAGAGUGUUACUCUCCAACCCUCUCCUCGUUUUCAAAGAGGGCAAAAGAAGAACUUGGUUUCUUUACUGUAAAUGUGCAUAUUUUUUCACAAAUAUUUGUUUAAACAAUUUUAUAACAAAAUGUGUUGUUUUUAUUUUAAAUGAUGGUAAAUAUCAGAAUUGAGGUCUAUUGCUUUUUUUAAUUCCAAUUCUAUUUUCAAUCCCCACCCUUUUUAUAAAUCCAUCCAUCCAUUAUCAUAACUGCUUAUUCCUUUAGAGGAUCACAGUGAUCCGGAGCCUAACCCGGCAGACACAGGGCAAUGCAAGGCAGGACUGCACCCUGGACCACAAGCCAGUCCAUCGCAGGGCACCACACACAAACAAACAAACUCACACACACGCACACGCAAACAAACUCACACAGAGGGCAAUUUAGAGUGACUAAUCAACCUGAACAGCAGGUCUUUGGACUGUGGGAGGAAACCGGAGUACCUGGGGAAAACCCACAAUGUGAACAUAUUGAAUAUAUUCAAGAGAAAACAACUUCGGGAGUAGCAAU